GGGGACACACUCGAGUGAACUAAAGCUUCUCUCUUCCUUUCUCAGGAUUCUUUCCAAAGGAAAACAGGGUGGGCUGGAGGUGCUGUAGACUUCACAAGGUCUGACAUGGCCCAAGAGGGAGCAUGGCUAUGCUGUAUACCUGAUUCGGAGAUCAAAACGCUUUUGCUGGCUGUUUAAUCAAGACAAUCUUGGACUGCAGUAAUUACCGGUUUGAUGGCAUCUUAACAACAG
rnacentral:lncRNA from 1 species